GGCGAACGGGUGAGUAACGCGUUGGUGACCUGCCCCGAAGUGGGGGGCAACAGCUCGAAAGGGCAGCUAAUACCCCAUGUGAUCAUCGGUUUUAGAAUCUGGUGAUUAAAGGAGUAAUUCGCUUCGGGAGGGGCCUGCGUCCCAUCAGCUAGUUGGUAAGGUAACGGCUUACCAAGGCGAUGACGGGUAGGGGACCUGAGAGGGUGACCCCCCACAAUGGAACUGAAACACGGUCCAUACACCUACGGGUGGCAGCAGUAGGGAAUAUUGGUAAUGGGCGAAAGCCUGAACCAGCAACGCCGCGUGUGCGAUGAAGGCCUUCGGGUUGUAAAGCACUUCUUGAGGGGAUGAGGAAGGACAGUACCCUCAGAAUAAGUCUCGGCUAACUACGUGCCAGCAGCCGCGGUAACACGUAGGAGACUAGCGUUAUCCGGAUUUACUGGGCGUAAAGCGCGUGCAGGUGGCUCGGAAAGUUCGAUGUGAAAGCUCCCGGCUUAACUGGGAGAGGUCGUUGAAUACUUUCGGGCUAGAGGAUGGGAGAGGGAGGCGGAAUUCCGGGUGUAGUGGUGAAAUGCGUAGAUAUCCGGAGGAACACCAGUGGCGAAAGCGGCCUCCUGGCCCAUUUCUGACACUCAGACGCGAAAGCUAGGGUAGCAAACGGGAUUAGAGACCCCGGUAGUCCUAGCUGUAAACGAUGUAGACUUGGCGUUGGCGGGUUCAAAUCCCGUCAGUGCCGAAGCUAACGCGAUAAGUCUACCGCCUGGGGACUACGGGCCGCAAGGUUAAAACUCAAAGGAAUUGA
rnacentral:rRNA from 1 species